rnacentral:rRNA from 1 species
CGAACGCUGGCGGCAGGCCUAAUACAUGCAAGUCGAACGGCUCUUCGGAGCAGUGGCGGACGGGUGAGUAACGCGUGGGAAUGUGCCCUUUGGUACGGAACAACACAGGGAAACUUGUGCUAAUACCGUAUGUGCCCUUCGGGGGAAAGAUUUAUCGCCAUUGGAGCAGCCCGCGUUGGAUUAGGUAGUUGGUGAGGUAAAGGCUCACCAAGCCUACGAUCCAUAGCUGGUCUGAGAGGAUGACCAGCCACACUGGGACUGAGACACGGCCCAAACUCCUACGGGAGGCAGCAGUAGGGAAUCUUGCGCAAUGGGCGAAAGCCUGACGCAGCCAUGGCGCGUGUAUGAUGAAGGUCUUAGGAUUGUAAAAUACUUUCACCGGGGAAGAUAAUGACGGUACCCGGAGAAGAAGCCCCGGCUAACUUCGUGCCAGCAGCCGCGGUAACAC